rnacentral:ncRNA from 1 species
UAUUGGUCGUCGAUACGACAUCCGGACGAGCGCACCGUACCCGGCCAGCGACAAGACGGUGCACA